rnacentral:lncRNA from 1 species
CUUGUUUCAAACAACUAUGAAAGAAUUUAGCAUUUAUGACGUCAGUGGGGUGGCAUGGGCGUGGAGUUGCAUGCGAGCAGAGAGAAGCUGGGCUCUUCUCUGCACCAGUGGUUUUGUGAAGGAGUCUUUCACUGAUGGAGGUUUAUUCAAGCCCACCUAAACACAUCUUUCUCAUCAACAAGAGCUGAAGAUUCACUUAAAAAAAUACCAAUGAGUUUCUUGUGUCACCAUGUAUAUUCAGGAGCUCGACAUUUUAGCAGAAGACAAAUUCCAUAGGAACCUUUCAAAAGUUGAUCUGAGAGUACUUGGAAAGGCUAGUCCGUCACCUUUUCCUGUGCAUGGGACACAGCUGGGAUCACCACAGAUCCAGCUGAGCACCCAGCACUCCCACACAGCCUGUGAUGCCAGGCUCUGA